UUGUGAAAGAAAGCGGGUGAAAGUGGCAGAACUGAUCUUGCUUAAAACAACUGAGUUGGCAUGGAGUGGACAGGAGCUCGUUUAAAAGUGACUCGUCAUCCAGCUGAAAGUGAGAAUGAGAAGGCACCCUUGGAAGCUACAAACUGAAGAUGUCAGAGCUGCCCUACUGUCCAGGCCACAUCUGGUAACCAAAAGUCCUUCCUGCCAUGUGCCAUUAGAUACUGCAUCUGUAAUACUCACAAAAGGUGCUUACAUACUUCAGGCAGCAAGUAAUGGGCAAAACUGAAUAAACAAGAAGAAAAGGAAACAAAUGUCUAAGUUUACAAACCCAGGCUGGGUCUUUGGAGAAAGAAAACUGAGGAGGAGGAUGGAUAAGGGCAGCAGCCUGCCGUGCCCUUCCUCGACUGCAGCCCUACUGCUCACAGCACCAGUGGCCUUCCCAGCAAACGGACAGAUGGCAAUUACAGCAAGGUGAUGCCCUGAAAGCUUCCCUUACCCGGACCUUCCAUGAACUUCUACAGGAUGGAUUCAGGAGCAUACAACCCAUCCAAGUUCACCACUGUGACAGGUGCUAGAAGCUUCUAUGAUCGCAUUCUGUGUCUUGUUAUA